AACUAUCAGCAACGGAUCACUUGGCUCUCGCAUCGAUGAAGAACGCAGCGAAAUGCGAUAAGUAAUGUGAAUUGCAGAAUUCAGUGAAUCAUCGAAUCUUUGAACGCAUCUUGCGCUCCUUGGUAUUCCGAGGAGCAUGCCUGUUUGAGUGUCAUUUAACUUCUCAACCACACAUCUCAUGAUGGCUCGUGGCUUGGAUGUGGGGGUUGUUUGCAGGCUUUCUGUGAAUGAAGGUCGGCUCCCCUGAAAUGUAUUAGUGGUAUCUGAGGCUACUACUAUAGGUGUGAUAAUUAUCUAUGCCCUUGGUAUGCCGCAUGGAACUGCUUCCAACAGAGAUGAUCUUUUUGAUGAAUUUGACCUCAAAUCAGGUAGGACUACCCGCUGAACUUAAGCAUAUCAAUAAGCGGAGGCU
rnacentral:misc_RNA from 1 species